GAUGAACGCUGGCGGCGUGCCUAAUACAUGCAAGUCGAGCGAACAGAUGAGGAGCUUGCUCCUCUGACGUUAGCGGCGGACGGGUGAGUAACACGUGGAUAACCGACCUAUAAGACUGGGAUAACUUCGGGAAACCGGAGCUAAUACCGGAUAAUAUAUUGAACCGCAUGGUUCAAUAGUGAAAGACGGUUUUGCUGUCACUUAUAGAUGGAUCCGCGCCGCAUUAGCUAGUUGGUAAGGUAACGGCUUACCAAGGCAACGAUGCGUAGCCGACCUGAGAGGGUGAUCGGCCACACUGGAACUGAGACACGGUCCAGACUCCUACGGGAGGCAGCAGUAGGGAAUCUUGCGCAAUGGGCGAAAGCCUGACGGAGCAACGCCGCGUGAGUGAUGAAGGUCUUCGGAUCGUAAAACUCUGUUAUUAGGGAAGAACAAAUGUGUAAGUAACUAUGCACGUCUUGACGGUACCUAAUCAGAAAGCCACGGCUAACUACGUG
rnacentral:rRNA from 1 species